AACCUGGUUGAUCCUGCCAGUAGUCAUAUGCUUGUCUCAAAGACUAAGCCAUGCAUGUCUAAGUAUAAGUAUUAUACAGCGAAACUGCGAAUGGCUCAUUAAAACAGUUAUAAUUUAUUUGAUAAUCGAAUUUACAUGGAUAACCGUGGUAAUUCUAGAGCUAAUACAUGCUGGUAGGCCCGACUUUUUGGAAGGGCGGUAUUUAUUAGAUAACAAACCAAUAUUCCUCUGGUCUAUUGUGGUGAAUCAUAAUAACUGAUCGAAUCGCAAGGUUUUUAACCGCGAUAAGUCAUUCAAGUUUCUGCCCCAUCAGCUUUCGAUGGUAGUGUAUUGGACUACCAUGGCUUUUACGGGUAACGGAGGAUUAGGGUUCGAUUCCGGAGAGGGAGCCUGAGAAACGGCUACCACAUCUAAGGAAGGCAGCAGGCGCGUAAAUUACCCAAUCCUGACUCAGGGAGGUAGUGACAAGAAAUAACGGACCGAGGCCUUCGGGCUUCGGAAUUGCAAUGAGCCGAAUUUACACCCCUUAGCGAAGAUCGAU
rnacentral:rRNA from 1 species